UACGUAGGGGGCAAGCGUUGUCCGGAAUCAUUGGGCGUAAAGCGCGUGUAGGCGGCUAGGUAAGUCUGCUCUGAAAGCCCGGGGCUCAACCCCGGGAGGCGGGUGGAUACUGUCUAGCUCGAGUCCGGAAGAGGAGUGUGGAAUUCCUGGUGUAGCGGUGAAAUGCGCAGAUAUCAGGAGGAACACCAAUGGCGAAGGCAGCUCGCUGGGACGUGACUGACGCUGAGACGCGAAAGCGUGGGGAGCAAACAGG
rnacentral:rRNA from 1 species